CUCACAUGCUUUUUCCAUCCUGCACUGUGAAUGUUUACACAGUGUGUAAAACGUGACUGUGUUUGUCUAUUGUUUUGACUUGAAGAUGAAGAAGAUCAGAUCACAUGUUGUGACCAAUUUCUGCAGAAAUCCAGCUGUUCGGAGAGCAGCAGCUCACCUCUUGAGUUUGGUACUCACUUUGUGAACGCCUCCAUCGUGCUUUCUAUCCUCUCUCCAGAUCCUGGUAACAAACAGAGGAGUUAAGGGUUGAUGAUGGCAGCAGGGAGAGAAGCACCGGUUAACAACGAAACUGAGGAAAAAUACGGCUGUUUAGACAUGCACAUGUUAUGAUCUGGACGUGAUGGACCCCUCCUCCUGACAGACGACCAGCUGCACCCUUCAGGCUUCAGAGUGCCUGUGACCAACCUUACCUCCUCUGUGUGAGAUGUGUUUGCAGUAAAAGGCUGUGCGUUUCCUCCUGUGGAGAAUCUGGGGGUUCUUCAGCAGGUACACCGAGGUGAGAGUGUAUCCACCCAGAGCUGGGAGGAUGAAGUACAGAAAACUGCUCAUCCUUCUCUACAAAUACGUUCCAGUGAGCUCCUAAAUGAGUUGCUGCAAGAUCGCACCGCUAAUGUUGGACAGGACCACCAGCAAACAAAACUUCAGCAAAAGUUAAUCAAGCUCUUAAUAAAGUCCAACAACAACCCUCCUUUGUGUUUCAAAGUAAAAGUGAACAGGACCACGCAUGACUGAAGACAACCUGCUCUCUACCUUCCUGAUAAGACAUGAAAAAACUGGAAAGACUGGUAAGACCGAAGAAAGUCUCCUUAUUGCCCACUCCUAGCAAACACACCUGAACCUUCAGUGCUGUAAAAAUCAGUUAAUGAAGUACCAGCUCAUAACCCAGCGCUCACCUCGCCGCUCUCUCACUGGCCUCUCCCCUGCCUGUGGCAAAUACUAUAUCACUCUCUUUAAGCUGCUUUGUUCAGCUGGGAUACUAGUGGCUUUGUGUGUGAGUGUCAUACCUGGUCACUGCAUGUUUGCCAACACUUACCUAGGAUUUAUUUGAUUCUGCUUCAUUGUUUGGAGUAUGGGGUUGGCCAUCAGUGAUUUGGAUUAUGAUGGAGAACAUAUGUUUGUUUAUCUAGUGUCACAUAACUCACGGGUGGGACAAAAUGAGGAAAAGAAGCAGUUGCUGGCAUCUUUUGUCCCAUUUAAACUCAGGACAUAGUUUGCAUCUGAUGGCUGGGUUGAUGAUUGGGAAAGAAAGUGGGAGUGCAGCGGGUUUCAACUGUGUAUUUGACAAAAGGGAUGUGGUGUAUGGCGGUAUGUAAACUAAACUCUGACCAACAGUGCCAGAAAUAUGAAAACAACCACGUGUCUAGAGGCAUGCAUGCUCGCUCUACAUACAGUCCACUGUCGUCAGUGCAUUACUGUAUUGUUCACAUUCAAUAGCAAAGCUGCAGUGUGACAAACAAUGGUGCGUCAGGCCGAGCCCGCUCUGAAAUGUUACAAGUCUGGUUUUCACCAGAAUAGAGACAUCUAUUCACGGCAGUGCAAUGUGACUUUCUAGCAAUUUCCCACUUUUGCAGGUGUCUCCAUUUGACAUGCAAAUAUGUGCAAAUCAUGGUGAAUUUGACAGAUAGAUCAUGUUUCACAUUUCCUGCUGUCAUGCCUGAUAUCAAAUAGAUUUUUUUUUACUUAUAAGCAGUCAUGGCCAAACACGCUUGGAAUGUCAGGGAAGGAGGGGGAAGCCAUGCUCAGGCAUGUUGGGAAGGAAGAGGGGAAAGCUGUACGGCAGGAAAAGCAAGUUGACUUUCGUGUUGAGAUGCCGAACAGUUACGUGUGUUGCUGAGUCUCAGGCUUAAAGUUUACUUCCCGGGGAUAUUUCAGAUAUAGUGUUAGGCCAGUCUGAGAUUAGUCUGGCAAACUAGUUUUACAUAAAUAAAUACUUAUCUUAAGCAUUAAAAGUUAGCCAGCACACCACCUGCCUGGCUCAGAAGGACUAAGAACCUGUUUCCAUGGUAUCAAUCGGGGACACCUGUCGCACAAUGGUACCAGCGGCAGUGAGAACAUUGUCAGUCGUUUUAUAACUUUAACCCUCUUUAAAACAAGAUGGUUCAUCUCAAGUUGUUUAUC